UACGAAGGGGGCUAGCGUUGUUCGGAAUUACUGGGCGUAAAGCGCACGUAGGCGGACUAUUAAGUCAGGGGUGAAAUCCCGGGGCUCAACCCCGGAACUGCCUUUGAUACUGUUAGUCUCGAGUCCGGAAGAGGUGAGUGGAAUUCCGAGUGUAGAGGUGAAAUUCGUAGAUAUUCGGAGGAACACCAGUGGCGAAGGCGGCUCACUGGUCCGGUACUGACGCUGAGGUGCGAAAGCGUGGGGAGCAAACAGG
rnacentral:rRNA from 1 species